rnacentral:ncRNA from 1 species
UCGAAUAUUCGGCACACUAAUCGAAAGAUUAGGUCGCAAAGCCUUGGAGUCUAACAAUUCGAAAAGCGAAUUAAUGACCGUCCGGCUGCAUAA